rnacentral:rRNA from 1 species
UAGUGAUUAACGCGAAGAACCUUACCUGGGCUCGAAGCGCAGUGGACCGGGGUGGAAACAUCCCUUCCCCUUAAAAGGCUGCUGCGGAGGUGCUGCAUGGCUGUCGUCAGCUCGUGUCGUGAGAUGUUGGGUUAAGUCCCGCAACGAGCGCAACCCUUAUCCCUAGUUGCCAUCGGGUCAAGCCGGGCACUCUAGUGAAACUGCCUCGGAUAACGAGGAGGAAGGUGGGGAUGACGUCAAGUCCUCAUGGCCUUUAUGUCCAGGGCCACACACGUGCUACAAUGGUCGGUACAAACCGCCGCAAACCCGUGAGGGGGAGCUAAUCGGAAAAAGCCGGCCUCAGUUCGGAUUGGAGUCUGCAACUCGACUCCAUGAAGCUGGAAUCGCUAGUAAUCGCGGAUCAGAACGCCGCGGUGAAUACGUUCCCGGGCCUUGUCACACCGAAUCGAAUUC